rnacentral:rRNA from 1 species
UACGAAGGGGGCUAGCGGUUGUUCGGAUUUACUGGGCGUAAAGCGCGUGUAGGCGGGUCGUUAAGUUGGGGGUGAAAUCCCGAGGCUCAACCUCGGAACUGCCUUCAAAACUGGACGACCUGGAGCAAAGAAGAGGCGAGUGGAAUUGCGAGUGUAGAGGUGAAAUUCGUAGAUAUUCGCAGGAACACCAGUGGCGAAGGCGACUCGCUGGUCUUUUGCUGACGCUGAGACGCGAAAGCGUGGGGAGCAAACAGG